rnacentral:rRNA from 1 species
AUUGAACGCUGGCGGCAGGCUUAACACAUGCAAGUCGAGCGGAGUGAUGGUGCUUGCACUAUCACUUAGCGGCGGACGGGUGAGUAAUGCUUAGGAAUCUGCCAUUUAGUGGGGGACAACAUUCCGAAAGGAAUGCUAAUACCGCAUACGUCCUACGGGAGAAAGCAGGGGAUCUUCGGACCUUGCGCUAAAUGAUGAGCCUAGGUCGGAUUAGCUAGUUGGUGGGGUAAAGGCCUACCAAGGCGACGAUCUGUAGCGGGUCUGAGAGGAUGGUCCGACACACUGGGACUGAGACACGGCCCAUACUCCUGCGGGAGGCAGCAGUGGGGAAUAUUGGACAAUGGGCGGAAGCCUGAUCCAGCCAUGCCGCGUGUGUGAAGAAGGCCUUUUGGUUGUAAAGCACUUUAAGCGAGGAGGAGGCUCUCCUAGUUAAUACCUAGGAAGAGUGGACGUUACUCGCAGAAUAAGCACCGGCUAACUCUGUGCCAGCCGCCGCAGUAAAAC